rnacentral:rRNA from 1 species
AACGAACGCUGGCGGCAUGCCUAACACAUGCAAGUCGAACGAGAUCUUCGGGUCUAGUGGCGCACGGGUGCGUAACGCGUGGGAAUCUGCCCUUUGGUUCGGAAUAACAGUUGGAAACGACUGCUAAUACCGGAUGAUGACGAAAGUCCAAAGAUUUAUCGCCAGAGGAUGAGCCCGCGUAGGAUUAGCUAGUUGGUGUGGUAAAGGCGCACCAAGGCGACGAUCCUUAGCUGGUCUGAGAGGAUGAUCAGCCACACUGGGACUGAGACACGGCCCAGACUCCUACGGGAGGCAGCAGCGGGGAAUAUUGGACAAUGGGCGAACGCCUGAUCCAGCAAUGCCGCGUGAGUGACGAAGGCCUUAGGGUUGUAAAGCUCUUUUACCCGGGAUGAUAAUGACAGUACCGGGAGAAUAAGCUCCGGCUAACUCCGUGCCAGCCGCCGCAGUAA